AUCCUGAUCCCUUACCCCUUAGAUCUAAAUAUUGGUCUUAGUAGCUGAAAAAGGAGGAACUUUAAAUUUGAAGCGGACUUGGAGUCUUUAAUGACAUAUCAAUUAAUGUCAAACAUAA
rnacentral:snoRNA from 1 species